rnacentral:piRNA from 1 species
AACAAUAAGUGGCUGCAGGAAUCCCGU